rnacentral:rRNA from 1 species
GGGCCCGCACAAGCGGUGGAGCAUGUGGUUUAAUUCGAUGCAACGCGAAGAACCUUACCAGGGUUUGACAUACCAGGAAGGUCCUUUAAACGGGACUGUGCCUUCGGGAAUCUGGAUACAGGUGGUGCAUGGCUGUCGUCAGCUCGUGUCGUGAGAUGUUGGUUAAGUCCCGCAACGAGCGCAACCCCUAUCGUACGUUACCUAUAAGGCUCUCGUGCGAGACUGCCGGUGAUAAGUCGGAGGAAGGUGGGGAUGACGUCAAGUCAGCAUGCCCCUUACACCCUGGGCUACACACGUGCUACAAUGGCCGGGACAAAGGGAAGCCAACCCGCGAGGGG